GAGCUUGCUCGCGAAGCAACUGGAAGUGGUUCCAAGAAAAGCCUCUAAGCUUCAGCUGGAAAUCGACCGUACCGCAAACCAACACUGGUGCGCGAGAUGAGUAUUCUCAGGCGCUUGAGAGAACUCGGGAGAAGGAACUCGGCAAAUUGACACCGUAACUUCGGAAGAAGGUGUGCCUUGGUAGCUUGAGUGUGAACAACACAAGGGCAAAGAGGUUGCAAAGAAUAGGUGGCUGCGACUGUUUAUUAAAAACACAGCACUCUGCAAACACGAAAGUGGACGUAUAGGGUGUGACGCCUGCCCGGUGCCGGAAGGUUAAGUGAUGGGGUGCAAGCUCUUGAUCGAAGCCCCGGUAAACGGCGGCCGUAACUAUAACGGUCCUAAGGUAGCGAAAUUCCUUGUCGGGUAAGUUCCGACCUGCACGAAUGGCGUAACGAUGGCCACACUGUCUCCUCCCGAGACUCAGCGAAGUUGAAAUGUUUGUGAUGAUGCAAUCUCCCCGCAGCUAGACGGAAAGACCCCAUGAACCUUUACUGUAGCUUUGCAUUGGAUUGCGAACCGACUUGUGUAGGAUAGGUGGGAGGCUUUGAAGUCAGGACGCCAGUCUUGAUGGAGCCAUCCUUGAAAUACCACCCUGGUUUGUUCGCGGUUCUAACCUAGGCCCGUCAUCCGGGCCGGAGACAGUGCAUGGUGGGCAGUUUGACUGGGGCGGUCUCCUCCUAAAGAGUAACGGAGGAGUUCGAAGGUACGCUUGGUACGGUCGGACAUCGUGCCUAAAGUGCAAUGGCAAAAGCGUGCUUGACUGCGAGACUGACAAGUCGAGCAGGUGCGAAAGCAGGACAUAGUGAUCCGGUGGUUCUGUAUGGAAGGGCCAUCGCUCAACGGAUAAAAGGUACUCUGGGGAUAACAGGCUGAUACCGCCCAAGAGUUCAUAUCGACGGCGGUGUUUGGCACCUCGAUGUCGGCUCAUCUCAUCCUGGGGCUGUAGCCGGUCCCAAGGGUAUGGCUGUUCGCCAUUUAAAGAGGUACGUGAGCUGGGUUUAAAACGUCGUGAGACAGUUUGGUCCCUAUCUGCUGUGGGCGUUGGAGAUUUGACGGGGGCUGCUCCUAGUACGAGAGGACCGGAGUGGACACACCUCUGGUGUACCUGUUGUCACGCCAGUGGCAUCGCAGGGUAGCUAAGUGUGGAAGAGAUAACCGCUGAAAGCAUCUAAGCGGGAAACUCGCCUGAAGAUGAGAUCUCCCUGGGGACGCGAUCCCCCUGAAGGGUCGUUCAAGACCAGGACGUUGAUAGGCCGGGUGUGGAAGCGCAGUAAUGCGUG
rnacentral:rRNA from 1 species